GAUGAGGAACGCAGCGAAAUGCGAUAAGUAAUGUGAAUUGCAGAAUUCAGUGAAUCAUCGAAUCUUUGAACGCACAUUGCGCCCCCUGGUAUUCCGGGGGGCAUGCCUGUUCGAGCGUCAUUUCACCACUCAAGCCUCGCUUGGUAUUGGGCAACGCGGUCCGCCGCGUGCCUCAAAUCGACCGGCUGGGUCUUCUGUCCCCUAAGCGUUGUGGAAACUAUUCGCUAAAGGGUGUUCGGGAGGCUACGCCGUAAAACAACCCCAUUUCUAAGGUUGACCUCGGAUCAGGUAGGGAUACCCGCUGAACUUAAGCAUAUCAAUAAGCGGAGGA
rnacentral:misc_RNA from 1 species